GACGAACGCUGGCGGCGUGCUUAACACAUGCAAGUCGUACGGUAAGGCCCUUUCGGGGGUACACGAGUGGCGAACGGGUGAGUAACACGUGAGUAACCUGCCCACAACUUUGGGAUAACGCUAGGAAACUGGUGCUAAUACUGGAUAUGUGCUCCUGCUGCAUGGUGGGGGUUGGAAAGCUCCGGCGGUUGUGGAUGGAUUGGCGGCCUAUCAGCUUGUUGGUGGGGUAGUGGCCUACCAAGGCGGCGACGGGUAGCCGGCCUGAGAGGGUGACCGGCCACAUUGGGACUGAGAUACGGCCCAGACUCCGACGGGAGGCAGCAGUGGGGAAUAUUGCACAAUGGGCGCAAGCCUGAUGCAGCAACGCCGCGUGCGGGAUGACGGCCUUCGGGUUGUAAACCGCUUUCAGCAGGGACGAAGCUUUUUGUGACGGUACCUGCAGAAGAAGCACCGGCUAACUACGUG
rnacentral:rRNA from 1 species